CCACGUGGGUAUGCUCAGUACGGCGAGUGAGCGGCAAAAGCUCAAAUUUGAAAUCUAGCACCUUCGGUGUUCGAGUUGUAAUUUGAAGAUGGUAACCUUGGGUUUGGCUCUUGUCUAUGUUCCUUGGAACAGGACGUCAUAGAGGGUGAGAAUCCCGUCUGAUGAGAUGCCCAUUCCUAUGUAAGGUGCUAUCGAAGAGUCGAGUUGUUUGGGAAUGCAGCUCUAAGUGGGUGGUAAAUUCCAUCUAAAGCUAAAUAUUGGCGAGAGACCGAUAGCGAACAAGUACAGUGAUGGAAAGAUGAAAAGAACUUUGAAAAGAGAGUGAAAAAGUACGUGAAAUUGUUGAAAGGGAAGGGCAUUAGAUCAGACUUGGUGUUUUACGAUUAUCUUCUCUUCUUGAGUUGUGCACUCGUAUUUCACUGGGCCAGCAUCGAUUCGGAUGGCAAGAUAAUGGCAGUUGAAUGUGGCUUCACUUCGGUGGAGUGUUAUAGCUUCUGCUGAUAUUGCCUGUCUGGAUCGAGGGCUGCGUCUUUUGACUAGGAUGCUGGCGUAAUGAUCUAAUGCCGCCCGUCUUGAAACACGGACCA
rnacentral:rRNA from 1 species